UACCUGGGAAAGUAGUGGCUUCCCGACCAAUCAAAAGCCAGAAUAAAAGCGGGAGCCGAACACCUGCGGCCAAUCAAAGAAGCAAGCGGCGAGCGUACCCCUCCCUGGCGCUGAGGGGACAGGUGUGGCGCGAAGGAGGUGGUAGGCGGCGGUCUCUUCAUGGUGGGGCCGUCCCAUCCAGCUCCCCUCGGACACUGCCGAAGCGUGCCGCUCCCUUGCCGUGCCGCUGUGGCACCUCCGUGCUGGGAGCCGCGGCAGCGCCUGGCAGGAGGCGCGCUCAGACCGGUCAGAUCUGGACAAAAAUCAUUUUUCUUCUCUUCACUCACCCUGCUUGGAGCCUAAAACAUGACAUCUAGUUUCAGAUAAGACACCGUGUCUUCAAGCAAACAGAAA
rnacentral:lncRNA from 1 species